GAUGAACGCUGGCGGCAGGCCUAAUACAUGCAAGUCGAGGGGUAACAGAAAGUGCUUGCACUUUGCUGACGACCGGCGAACGGGUGAGUAACGCGUAUACAAUCUACCUCAUACUAGAGAAUAGCCCGAAGAAAUUUGGAUUAACACUCUAUAGUAUCAUUUAAAGACAUCUUUUUAUGAUUAAAGGUUACGGUAUGAGAUGAGUAUGCGUUCUAUUAGUUUGUAGGUGAGGUAACGGCUCACCUAGACUGCGAUAGAUAGGGGCCCUGAGAGGGGGACCCCCCACACUGGUACUGAGACACGGACCAGACUCCUACGGGAGGCAGCAGUAAGGAAUAUUGGUCAAUGGACGAAAGUCUGAACCAGCCAUGCCGCGUGCAGGAUGAAUGCCCUAUGGGUUGUAAACUGCUUUUAUACAGGAAGAAAAACUUUCUCGUGAGAAAGCUUGACGGUACUGUAAGAAUAAGGAUCGGCUAACUCCGUGCCAGCAGCCGCGGUAAUACGGAGGAUCCAAGCGUUAUCCGGAAUUAUUGGGUUUAAAGGGUCCGUAGGUGGAUAAUUUAGUCAGAGGUGAAAUCCUGCAGCUUAACUGUAGAAUUGCCUUUGAUACUGGUUAUCUUGAGUUAUUAUGAAGUGAUUAGAAUGUGUAGUGUAGCGGUGAAAUGCAUAGAUAUUACACAGAAUACCAAUUGCGAAGGCAGAUCACUAAUAAUCAACUGACACUGAGGGACGAAAGCGUGGGUAGCGAACAGGAUUAGAUACCCUGGUAGUCCACGCCGUAAACGAUGGUCACUAGCUGUUUGGACUUCGGUCUGAGUGGCUAAGCGAAAGUGAUAAGUGACCCACCUGGGGAGUACGUUCGCAAGAAUGAAACUCAAAGGAAUUGACGGGGGCCCGCACAAGCGGUGGAGCAUGUGGUUUAAUUCGAUGAUACGCGAGGAACCUUACCAGGGCUUAAAUGUUUAGUGACAGAUCUAGAAAUAGAUUUUUCUUCGGACACUAAACAAGGUGCUGCAUGGUUGUCGUCGGCUCGUGCCGUGAGGUGUCAGGUUAAGUCCUAUAACGAGCGCAACCCCUGUUGUUAGUUGCCAGCGAGUAAUGUCGGGGACUCUAACAAGACUGCCAGUGCAAACUGUGAGGAAGGUGGGGAUGACGUCAAAUCAUCACGGCCCUUAUGUCCUGGGCUACACACGUGCUACAAUGGUAGGUACAGAGAGCAGCCAAUGCGCGAGCAUGAGCAAAUCUAUAAAACCUAUCUCAGUUCGGAUCGGAGUCUGCAACUCGACUCCGUGAAGCUGGAAUCGCUAGUAAUCGGAUAUCAGCAAUGAUCCGGUGAAUACGUUCCCGGGCCUUGUACACACCGCCCGUCAAGCCAUGGAAGUUGGGAGUACCUGAAGUCCGUUUCCGCAAGGAUCGGCCUAGGGUAAAAUCGAUAACUAGGGCUAAGUCGUAACAAGGUAGCCGUACCGGAAGGUGCGGCUGGAACACCUCCUUUCUAGAGAAAGACGACUAAAGUUUCCAAACUAUUUAAUCAAAAUAAGUUUAUUCUCAUCGCUGUUAAUUAUUAUCAUAUAGUGGAGUCUCAUAGCUCAGCUGGUUAGAGCGCUACACUGAUAAUGUAGAGGUCGGCAGUUCAAGUCUGCCUGAGACUACUACGUUUAGUUUUAGUACUAAAUAAAAUUGAGAAUUUUAAAAAGUUGAGUAUAUGAUUAAUAACUCUUUAUAUUGGGGGAUUAGCUCAGCUGGCUAGAGCGCCUGCCUUGCACGCAGGAGGUCAUCGGUUCGAUUCCGAUAUUCUCCACAAUCAGUUUUAUACUGAAAUGUUCUUUGACAUAUUGAAAACAAUACAAUGAAUAUUUAGAAAAUUUCUAAAUAUAAUUAAAGUAAAAUUAAGUAAUUAAGUUUACGAGCAUGCUCGUAUUUAUUUACGAGCAAAUUUAAUGACUCAUUAAAAAUAAAAGUUACAAUAAGCUAUUUAAGAGCGUAUGGGGGAUGCCUAGGCUCUCAGAGGCGAUGAAGGACGUGAUAAGCUGCGAUAAGCUGCGGGGAUUGGCACACACAAUUUGAUCCGCAGAUUU
rnacentral:rRNA from 1 species